rnacentral:rRNA from 1 species
UACGGAGGAUGCGAGCGUUAUCCGGAUUUAUUGGGUUUAAAGGGUGCGCAGGCGGUCUGUUAAGUCAGCGGUCAAAGCCCGGGGCUCAACCCCGGCCCGCCGUUGAAACUGCCAGGCUAGAGUGUCGGAGAGGUAAGUGGAAUUCCUAGUGUAGCGGUGAAAUGCAUAGAUAUCGCGCAGAACUCCGAUUGCGAAGGCAGCAUGCCGGCUCCACACUGACGCUGAGGCACGAAAGCGUGGGUAUCGAACAGG